GCCUUGCGUGCCCCAGCUGCCUUGGCAGGCCAACCCCCACCUUCACCUCCACUCUCAUCGGAAGCACACCCUGAGUAGCCACUCAGGAACUGGAUGGCUCCCACCGUCACUGCUGCUGUUGCUGCUCCCUCUUGGGAGAGAGAGAGAGAUUCCCUACUGCACCACCCGACACCACACCUGCACUGGAUUACUUCCUAAUUGACUGACUGCUCCUGCUUUCCCCAACAGCUGCCUCACUGUGUCUGAUCCUGCUUUGUCUUCUGGGCUACUGCUCUGCUGCUGAGCACUUGGCUGGAGGCCUGAGAGGCUUCUGGACAGAUCUUCAACAAACAAAGCCCCUCCACCACUCCAGCCAUCUUUUACAUCUGCCUCAGCAGCCUUCCCUGUGCAUUCUUGCCCUUGUGUGGAGGUUGGUGUCGUGCUGCCUGGAGCAGUUUGGUGUUCCAUCACAAAAAAAAACCAAAACAAAACAAAAAAACCCAUCACUGUUCAAGACUUGAUGUUACAGAGAGAGAUGCCAAACACUUUUGGGAGACAAAAGGAUCAGUUAUAGGCUUAAGAGGCUCCCAAAGAGGUUACCUUCAUGCCUCAGGACUAGACUCACCAAGGGAACAGUCUCCUCUGUCUCUUCACUUGCUGUCAC